UUUUUUCUGGAGACCAUAAAGAAGAGCUUGAAGGUAUUCGUCGAGAAACAGAGGAGUUGCGCAGUGUACUGCAUGCACAUAUUAGUGUAUGCAUUUUUAAAUGGCUCUGUGAGAACGGAAAGGAAUGUAGAGGGACGAAACAAAAUGAAGAAGUUCUCGAUGAAAAACCUGUCGGAAAUGAUUCAUCCACUGCUGCAGACCAAACUCCAAGAGAUGUUUCCAAAAAAAGAAAACGUGGUCAGGAUUCGAGUGAAC